rnacentral:misc_RNA from 1 species
UCCGAGUUGACCCCGGCAGUCUCCUACGAGUCCCCGGCAUUACCCGCUGGCAACAUAGGACAAGGGUUGCGCUCGUUGCGGGACUUAACCCAACAUCUCACGACACGAGCUGACGACAACCAUGCACCACCUGUGCACGGCCCUUACGGACCCCCCAUCUCUGGAAGAUUUCCGCGCAUGUCAAGCCUAGGUAAGGUUCUUCGCGUUGCAUCGAAUUAAAGAACAUGCUCCGCCGCUUGUGCGGGUCCCCGUCAAUUCCUUUGAGUUUUAGUCUUGCGACCGUACUCCCCAGGCGGAGUGCUUAACGCGUUAACUGCGACAGCGAAGGGGUCAAUACCUCCACCGUCUAGCACUCAUCGUUUACAGCGUGGACUAC